CUCCUCUCUUCACUUUGCCUGUUCCCUCCAUAGUUACAGCGUCUUCCUCUUGCCUUGGGUCACCUCUCAACCGUGUCCAUGACGCUCACUCAUUACUGUGGAAACCCUCAGCUGUGUCUGGCUGUGUUUGUGUGCUGAGGAGUUAGUGUGAUGUUGUGUGUGUGUCCCGUUUAGAAAUUUAAUGUGAAUUGUACCUGGUGGUUUUGUCGCAGAAGUUGACAGGUGUGGCCCCUGUGUAAUGCAGUGAUGUCAUCAUCAAUUUUUUAAUCACCUCAUACCUACCAAGUCACGUGAGUCAUGGAUGAGUGUGUUGUCUGGUGUGAUGUCUGAGCAGGUGAUUCAGUGAUGGCCAUUACAUGUCUGUGUAGUGGUAGUCUCUAUCAUUUUUUGGCAACAGAUUUCAUUCAAAUUGUCCGUUAUCCUCAAUUCAGUUCAAUUCAGUUCAGGUGUUCUCCAGGUGUGUGUAUAGAGUGUGUUCUCAGAAUGUGUGUGUGUAGUCUGUGUUGUCUGAGUGUGUGUGUGUAAUGUGUGUAGAACGUGUUCUUAAGAUGUGUAUUUAGUGUGUGUUCUCAAGGUGUGUGUGUAGAGUGUGUUUGCUGGGUGUGUGUGUGUGUGUAGUCUGUGUUGUCUGGGUGUGUGUGUAUAGAGUGUGUUCUCUGGGUGGGUUUUUAGUGUGUGUCCCGGGUGUAUAAUGAUGCUCUGGCUGUGUGUGUUUCCUGCAGAGUCAGGGGAGAGUCAGAGUGUGUGAGGAGGUGUGUGUGUGUUUCCUGCAGAGUCAGGGGAGAAUCAGAGUGUGUGAGGAGGUGUGUGUGUUUCCUGCAGAGUCAGGGGAGAGUCAGAGUGUGUGAGGAGGUGUGUGUGUUUCCUGCAGAGUCAGGGGAGAAUCAGAGUGUGUGAGGAGGUGUGUGUGUUUCCUGCAGAGUCAGGGGAGAGUCAGAGUGUGUGAGGAGGUGUGUGUGUUUCCUGCAGAGUCAGGGGAGAGUCAGAGUGUGUGAGGAGGUGUGUGUGUGUUUCCUGCAGAGUCAGGGGAGAGUCAGAGUGUGUGAGGAGGUGUGUGUGUUUCCUGCAGAGUCAGGGGAGAGUCAGAGUGUGUGAGGAGGUGUGUGUGUUUCCUGCAGAGUCAGGGGAGAAUCAGAGUGUGUGAGGAGGUGUGUGUGUUUCCUGCAGAGUCAGGGGAGAGUCAGAGUGUGUGAGGAGGUGUGUGUGUUUCCUGCAGAGUCAGGGGAGAGUCAGAGUGUGUGAGGAGGUGUGUGUGUUUCUUGCAGAGUCAGGGGAAAGUCAAAGUGUGUGAGAAGGUGUGUGUGUUUCCUGCAGAGUCAGGGGAGAGUCAGAGUGUGUGAGGAGGUGUGUGUGUUUCCUGCAGAGUCAGGGGAGAGUCAGAGUGUGUGAGGAGGUGUGUGUGUUUCCUGCAGAGUCAGGGGAGAGUCAGAGUGUGUGAGGAGGUGUGUGUGUUUCCUGCAGAGUCAGGGGAGAGUCAGAGUGUGUGAGGAGGUGUGUGUGUUUCCUGCAGAGUCAGGGGAGAGUCAGAGUGUGUGAGGAGGUGUGUGUGUUU